GUUCAGUCGGUUGGUCUUCUUGGUUCUCAGUUAUACCUACCUGAUUGUCUACUUGUCUCCCAGACCUUAAGGUGUGAAUUAUAUUUACAUGGUUGAAUCGACUUUUAGGUUGAGAUUGUUGACCAAUUUGGGCUCUUGGGUUAGGUUCAGGUUGGCUUGGCCAUUUUUUUUUUCUCUUCGCUGAUGGUGGUAGCCAAUUGACUUAAUUGCAUUUCUAGACAGGCAAUGGCUUGGAUGUUUGAAUUUACAAGUUGGCCCGUAGUUUGCAUGAAAUUAUUUGUAUUUUUUGUCAAGGCUUCAAGGCUUUUCUCUAGUGAAUUAUUCUUU
rnacentral:lncRNA from 1 species